UGGGGAAUAUUGGACAAUGGGCGAAAGCCUGAUCCAGCCAUGCCGCGUGUGUGAAGAAGGUCUUCGGAUUGUAAAGCACUUUAAGUUGGGAGGAAGGGCAGUAAGCGAAUACCUUGCUGUUUUGACGUUACCGACAGAAUAAGCACCGGCUAACUCUGUGCCAGCAGCCGCGGUAAUACAGAGGGUGCAAGCGUUAAUCGGAAUUACUGGGCGUAAAGCGCGCGUAGGUGGUUCGUUAAGUUGAAUGUGAAAGCCCCGGGCUCAACCUGGGAACUGCAUCCAAAACUGGCGGGCUAGAGUAGGGCAGAGGGUGGUGGAAUUUCCUGUGUAGCGGUGAAAUGCGUAGAUAUAGGAAGGAACACCAGUGGCGAAGGCGACCACCUGGGCUCAUACUGACACUGAGGUGCGAAAGCGUGGGGAGCAAACAGG
rnacentral:rRNA from 1 species